rnacentral:rRNA from 1 species
UACGAAGGGGGCUAGCGUUGCUCGGAAUCACUGGGCGUAAAGCGCACGUAGGCGGGUCUUUAAGUCGGAGGUGAAAUCCUGGAGCUCAACUCCAGAACUGCCUUUGAUACUGAGGAUCUCGAGUCCGGGAGAGGUGAGUGGAACUGCGAGUGUAGAGGUGAAAUUCGUAGAUAUUCGCAAGAACACCAGUGGCGAAGGCGGCUCACUGGCCCGGUACUGACGCUGAGGUGCGAAAGCGUGGGGAGCGAACAGG